GCAAUCAUGGCCUAAUGGUUAGCGAGUCGGCCUUGUAACCCUAAGGUCAUGGGAUCGAGUCUCAGGGAUUGUA